CUACGGGUCGCUGCAGUGAGGAAUAUUGCACAAUGGGGGGAACCCUGAUGCAGCAACGCCGCGUGGAGGAUGACGCAUUUCGGUGUGUAAACUCCUUUUAUAUGUCAAGAAAAUGACGGUAGCAUAUGAAUAAGCACCGGCUAACUCCGUGCCAGCAGCCGCGGUAAUACGGAGGGUGCAAGCGUUACUCGGAAUCACUGGGCGUAAAGGACGCGUAGGCGGGUUGGAAAGUCAGGUGUGAAAUCCUACCGCUUAACUGUAGAACUGCACUUGAAACUUCUAAUCUAGAGUAUGGGAGGGGGAGAUGGAAUUAGUGGUGUAGGGGUGAAAUCCGUAGAUAUCACUAGGAAUACCUAAAGCGAAGGCGAUCUCCUGGAACAUUACUGACGCUAAGGCGUGAAAGCGUGGGGAGCAAACAGGAUUAGAUACCCCAGUAGUC
rnacentral:rRNA from 1 species